CUCCAUGACCAAGCCAGUAGUUUAUACUAUACCAAUUCAGCUAGUACAAGUUAUGCUAAACUCCGUACCAAGUCAGACCCGCUGUUCCAAUCUCACGAUCUACUGUCGUAAAUACUGCUAGUCUCCUGCUAGCUUCCCGAUCUAUCUCCUGCAGCCCAAUCUGCUAUCCAAUACAGUCUCUUGGUCUUUAGCUGAUUGUAUCACCAAGUGGAAUUCCAAGAACCUCCUAUUCUUGUCCAGUUCUUGCGCUUGUCGUCCCCCUCUCUCAAUCCCUCAAUGAGAGAGUCCGUUCCUCAAAGGAUCAAGGAACCACGGUGUUUUGUCUUCGAGAACCUUGAUGCUUUUCCCAAAAAUAGGUUGUCGGGUCUCAAGAAUUAUAUGAUUGAUUUCAUCAAUGAAUACUAUUCUUGGAUCUAUAAUUGACGAAAUGUGAUCAAGUCCAAUUAUGCUCCUUCGUUCCUGUCUUUGUCUUCUGCCUUUUUCUUAACACAUGUAGCUUGUAUUUUCCCUUAAAUUUUAGCCACAGUAUGCGUGCACGUAUAUAUCUUGCAACCGCCCGAUGAGUGUCCAAAGCUGAUACUUGUAAUGUUAAUUCUAAAUCCAAUUCCAAACAAAAUCAGCCCCUAAUUUACUCGUCUUCUCUGGGCCUUUUUAUAUAUAAAUAUACACUAACCAGCCUCCAAUGUUGACUCCCAGCUACACGUCUAAUUCUUCAAUUCAGUCCCCAGAUUGGCUUUGAUUUUCUGUGAAUAUUUAUAUCCAAUUCAGCCACCAAAUGUUUUCCAAAGCUGCCGUGUCUGUCAAUACAUAUUAAAUCUAGCCACAAUAUUUGACUACGAAAAUGGGACUGGAACUCUCUUCUUGUCUCCUUUGUCUUUGCACGCAUGUAGGUCUAUAUAAUUAAAUUAGCAACCUACACUAUUUAAUUCCUCCAGCAGCAUCCCUUUUUUACUCUUCCCAUCCACUUCAAAUUCUGUGGUUUUAUGUAUAUAUAUCAACAGUAGUCGGCGCCCCUUUUUCUGCCUCAAUUUCAAUGUACAAGUAUUAAACAAUUUCAGCACUCACCACUUUGUUAAUUCCACUAGUAGCUUCAACUUUCGUUCCAAUUUUAGCAGCUGACCAGCCUUUUAUUACUUCCAACAACUUCUAUAAUUCUGUCUCCCACAGAUGCCAUUUUCUGUUGGUAAGUGUAUAUCAAUAUGGCAGCCGACAGCCCUUUUUAAUUCCUUCCGGAAGGCACCUUCAAGUUCUGUGUGUUUAUUUCUUUUGCAGUCGGCCAGCAUCUUUCUUCAAUGCAUAUGCGUAUAUAUAGAUAGAUAUGUAGACUUCGACUUAUGGGCUUCUAAUUUUACAAGCUCAAAUCCUAGCCCAACUAAACUAUACAAUAUUGCACUUCACGCCUUGACUUUUAGACAUGUUCAAUUAAGUCUCUUUUUGUUCAUAGAAUGGCAAUUACAAUUUUAAACCUAACAAUCUCCCCCUUUGGCAUUCUAUAACAAAACUAUACAAAUUCAAGUGAAGGGAUUACAAUCAAUCAAAACAACCUAAACUACCCAGCAUUCGAAUCACCGAGUCUUGCAUUCCUUGUUGUACAUGUUUCCUGGAAUCCAAAAACUCACAUGCCCAGUGUAAAAGCACGUGAUAUAGGAAAUAUAGAAAUUAAAGCACUUAAUCACAGAUUAACAUGCUAGUUUGAGACAUAAUAUUAAUGUCAAUCAAAACACCAUCCGAAACAUUAACAUCAAAACUCAAACAACUAUGGAUGUGAUAUGGAAUGCAAUGCAAUGCUCCCCCUUACUGCAAACUUUCAUAUUUUUAUGCAGUAGGUAAAUGUAUCUGUCUCUUCCCAACGAUCCCUAGAUAUAGCAAUGCAGUGCAAGUAAUGUCAAUUAACAAAAUGUGCAUGCAUUUGCUGUCGCUCUCUUAUGUGCAUGCUCUCAUUUUCCAUUUUCUCCCCCUUGUAUGUACAUUUUCUCUCCCCCUUUUUGUCACAAAUAUUGAAGGGAAUCACAUUAAGACCAAGUCGAGCAAUAACAUAUAACUAUCAAAAAUGCAGUUGAUAGCAUGUAAAAGCAAAAUUAACAAGUUGUAUACCUCUCCACAUACUUAGUUCAGUCUAAAAUGGAGUAAUAAAAGUAUAAGUGACUCAUGUGUGUAAAGUGUCACUAAUCAAAUACAAGUAAGACUCCAAACCUUAAUUUUGUGAGAAGGAACAUGCCAAUCACUGCUAGUAAGUAUAUUCUCCUACUAAUGAAAGCUAAACUAUGUAACGUGUAGUAGGUACUAUACUUACAAUUUUUAUUUAUCUCCCCCUUACUAUAAGCUUAUUUUUCAAACUUUUCAAAUUAUUCCAACUCAUAAUAUUUUUCAUGUUUCUCAUUUUUUUUCAGCUCAUUAAUUUUUCAUCUUAAGUGCAGGUUCUUCUCCAUUAGGUGAUUGAAAUGACCCUUGUAGCAAGCUUUAGGCCGAUUAACCCAAGUCAAUUGACCAUAGGCACCAUGUUUUAAGAGACUCUGCAGGCUUAAUUACUCAAGUCAAAUAGGCCCCGAAAAAAACAUUAAGAUAUGAGCUUUUAUAUAGUGGGGAGAGAUUUUUGGGUUAAGGUCUACAAAAAAGGUAAAUUCAUGUUCAAAGUCACUCCAUCAACAUGUGAAAACUAUCCCAAAUCUCACACACGCAGUAGAGUCCUUCUAACAAAUUCAUAGUGUGUGCAUUGCAGAUGGUACAUGAAGACACUUAUACAGAUUAAUCCAAAUAAACCUAGCCAAGCAAUGAAAAUUAUUCUACAGCUUGUCAAUUUUAGUUCCUACAUGAUCACAAAGUGCAAGCUCAAAGGUCAUGUGUCAUGCUGUAGCAAUUUCCACAACCAACACUUUUUGUCUUUUUCAAUUUUUCAAUGUUUUUGUGUUUUUCAUUUUUCCUGAACUGAAUGCUUCACACACUAAAUAAAAAUAAGUCAAGCACACAAAGACAAAAAUAAAUAUGCAUGCUCCAAAACAAGCAAGUGAAAAUGCACAUGCAUGAAAUAAAAACAAAACAAAAAUAAACAAUAUAUAUGUGAUGCAUGCAACAAUUAUAUGUCAAUUAAGAACCAAGCAUACAUCAAAAAUACCUAAUUAAGUAGGUAUGAAAAUGCUCUUUCCUUUAAGAGCACCGCGAUCUACUACCAAGUUCGGGAGAUCGUUCUUCUUCACCCAAAUCUGUCUGGUAGGAGAACAGUUUUCAGACAAUCAUGUCACAAACUUGGUCAAAUGAUUCACUUGAUCAGUAAGGAAUCCAAUCUGACCAACAUACACCUGAUAUUUAUUCUUUUUCAAGUUCAUGUCUUUCAUAUUGUUCAGGUAUUGAUGACAUCUAGGGCGGAUGUGACCUACCUCUCCACAAUGAUAGCAAGUAGGAAUAAACAUAGGACCUGUGUUAUGUGAACGCUGAUGUCUAUUUCUAGGUCGAUGGGUCGUACGCUGUCUGGUAGACCUCUGUCUUACAAAUCCCUUAACUUUAGGUUCGGGGUUAGGCACAUGUUUAGGCUGGUUAGUAGCAGGGACAAAUGUGGGCUUUGAAGUGCUAGCAACAUCAUGACUUUUACCCUUAUAUCCUAGACCUCCCUUAUUUCCAGCCGAUCUGCCUAUUUCUAGAAGAUUGUCUAGCUUUGAUGAACCACUAGUAAAGGUGAGAAGUUGAGACUUAGAAUGUUCUAAUUCGUUCACAAGGUUCACAACUUGUAUUUGAAAAGUCUCAUUCAUGGUAGUCCACUCGCUUUCCUAGAAGACCUCUCAAGCUCACUGGUGAGAUUUUUAACCUGAGACUCUAAGGUUUCAUUCAUCAACUUAAGUUCAUUCAGGACGAUGGAAGUUUCCUUAAUGUGCGCGACUAACUUUUCUUUUUCUAAUUGAAGUUCUUUAAUCAUCACACUUAAAGUUUUGUUCUUAUUAAGAAUCUUAAGGCUCUCCUGAUACAUCUUCUCAUAAGCCUCUUCAAUAUCUUCCUCACUUUUAGACUCAUCUCGAGAAUUCUCACCACUAUCUAAGUCCUUAUCUCUCUCACUCCCCUGUUCAGAUCCACUCUUAAUCUUAGCUAAUGAAGGAAAUGUUUUUCUUAUUUUCCUCAUAAGAGGUAUCUAAGAUAUCCCAAACCUCUUUGGCAACCUCACACAUAGACACUCGCCCAAAUUCUUUAGGGGAUAUAGCCAUAAAUAGGGCAUCAAGGGCUUUACUAUUCCAAUUACACACAUCUAUUUCAACAUUGGACCAAUUUUCUAUGGGUGUGGGAGUGACAACACCAUCUACGUACUGUGGUACUAGGGGCAUACCAACCAUUCACAAAACUCAACCAUAUCCUCUCAUCUAAAGACUUCAAAAAUGCCCUCAUUCUAAACUUCCAAUAGGGAUAAUUAAGGCCAUCAAAAUAUGGUGGGACAGUUAAAGAGGUACUCAUCUAGACUAAUGUAAGGUUUGGACCGAUGUAAGGCUCUGAUACCACUUGAAAGUUCACAGGGAACGCUCAAUAUACCAAUUCAAAUUUAGAUAUUACCAAGUUUACGUUCCAUUUAACAAUUAUUUUGACCUUACUGCGGAAUUACUAAUAUAAGCAACAAGUCACUUAUUAUUAGUCAUCUAGGUGGUUAAACAAUCAAGUCCAAUUAAUCCUAUGUUGAAUUGCCAGUUUAUAAUGCGUAAAGUAAAUAAAUCAACACAAAACACAACUCACGAUGUGAUGACGGAUAAACCCCAACGUGGGUAAAACUCCGGGACCAAGCUCGUAGUUUCCACUAUAUCAAUCCAGCCAGUACAAGUUAUGCCAAACUCAGUACCAAGUCAAACCCCCUGUUCCAGUCUCACGAUCUUUUGCCGUAGAUAACUGCUAGUCUCCUGCUAGCUUCCCGAUCUAACUCCUGCAGCCAAAUCUACUGUCCAAUACAACCUCCUAGAUCACCAAGUGGAAUUCCAAGAACCUCCUAUUCUUGUCCAGUUCUUGCGCUUGUCGUCUACCUCUCUCAAUCCCCCAAUGAGAAAGUGCGUUCCUCAAAGGAUUAAGGAAUCAUGGUAUUUUGUCUUUGAGAACCUUGAUGUUUUUUCCAAAAAUAGGUUGCCGGAUCUCAAGAAUUAUAUGAUUGAUUUCACCAAUGAAUUCUAUUCUUGGAUCUAAAAUUGACGAAAUGUGAUCAAGCCCAAUUAUACUCCUUCGUCCGUGUGUUCGUCUUCUUCCUUUUUCUUUACACGUGUAGGUUGUAUUUUCCCUUAAAUUUUAGCCACAGUAUGCGUGCACGUAUAUAUUUUGCAACCGCCUAAUGAGUGUCCAAAGCUGAUACUUGUAAUGUUAAUUCUAAAUCCAAUUCCAAACAAAAUCAGCCCCUAAUUUACUUGUCUUCUCUGGGCCUUUUUAUAUAUAAAUAUAUACUAACCAGCCUCCAACGUUGACUCCCAGCUGCACGUCUAAUUCUUCAAUUCAGCCCCCAAAUUAGCUUUGAUUUUCUGGAAUAUUUAUAUCCAAUUCAGCCACCAAAUGUUUUCCAAAGCUACUGUGUCUGUCAAUAAAUAUUAAAUCCAGUCACAAUAUUUGACUACCAAAAUGGGACUCCAACUAUUGGCGAGGCUCGGCCCUUAACCUCACGAGCUCGGCUCUCGUCCCUUUUUUUAACAGAAAAACACAAAUAAAUGAAAUAAUAUAAUGAAAACACUUUUAAAAAAAGUAAAAACUAUUAAAUACAAAUAAUUUAAUGAAGACACUUUUUUAUUUUUUUUAUUUAUAUCAUGUUGUAAUAUUUUUUAUAAAGUAUAAAAUAUUUAUAUAAUGAAGACGAAUUAUUUUUUGAAAUACAUCUACAAAAAAUAUAUUUUUUUCUUUUUAAAGAAGAUAAAAUGUAAGCCCUCCUUCUUUAUUUGGGCUUGGAACCGGCUACAUCAAUUUUAAGUAGGUGGAGUUAAAAAUUGUACAUGAACAACUUGUUGUAACGUGUACAGUUUUUAAAAGAAAAUUAAAUUUAAAGAUUAAAAAAUAAAGAAAUUUUGAUUAAUAAAAUUAAAUCAAAUAUCACUUACCUGACGACAUGCAAUUUCAGCGUAUUUAUCUUGUAGUCGAAAAUGAGCGUCCUGCCAGUCCUUCACACACAUUAACACUUUCAAAAUAUCUAUUUUCAGUCGGCUCUUGACAUCGGUCAAAACCCAUUUACCUGCACUAAAAGCAAACUCCAAAGCAACAGUGCUAACCGGAGGUGACAGCAAAUCUUUUCCAAUUGCAGAAUCAAUUGGCCAACGUCUUUCAUACUUCUGCCAUAAUUCAAUUACUUCUUCUGAACUUUUUUUAAUUGUUCUGUCUGUUGGCAUAUUAUGAUUGAAGUAAUCAAUUAAUUCAGUAGGCAUCACAUUUUGAGUUUCGGCCAAUGUUUGAUGAGAUGCAAAUGUAAACGACAUGACACUAGAUGAAUACAUUACAGUUGCAUCAUAUCUAAAUAUAUUAAUGCCUUGAAAUAAAUUCAUUAUUUCGGCAUCAUCUUCUUCAAUUUCAGCAGAAGGAGUAGGUGCAGAGGGUACCCGACUAACAUUCGCACUCAUUCUUUCCGCAUAUAAAUCAUACAUUCCACAUAAUGUUUGCUCUAAAUUCUUAUAGGUGAUAGGUGUAUCAAGUGUUAAAGCUUUAUUAAUUCGAUCAAUUACGUAUUUAGUUCUCGAAAUAUUAUAUCUGGGGUCCAUUGCGCAUGUUAAAGGAAAUAACAUAGCUAGUUCUUCCUAAUAUUUUCUAAACUUUAAUUCCAUAGUAAUUAUAAUUUUACAAAAAGCAGGAUCAUUUUUAUAUUUAUGAAAUGUUCUUACAAUUAUAUAAAGGCGUUCAAGCACCAUACAGCUUGUGGGAUAAUAAACGUCGGAUAAAAUCUUUGUGGUCUCAUAAAAAGAUGUCAAAAAUCGUUUAACUUUCAAAGCUAAGAUCCAGUCGGAUUCAUUUAACAUACCAUCGUCAUCACUUCUAAUGUGUCUAUUGUUAUAAAAGUCAGUUAUUAAAUUUUCGAAACUUCACAUGACUUUAAUAGCAAGUAGAGUUCUAUCUAUGACAUACGUCGCUAACAAAUGUUUUAGCAAUCGUCACCCCUAGUUCAGCACAAAAAUCUUCAAAUACUUGCUAUCUACUAGGAGAGAUCGUAAUAUAUACUAAUACAUUCCUAAUCCUUUGAAGUUCAUCCUUUAUAUAUUUUAAGUCAUCUUGCACAAUUAAAUUCAAGAUAUGACAUAUAAAACAAUAUGAAACAAAUACCCACCAAAAUCAAGUUCAAGUGUCCUACACAAUUUAUCGACGACUACCUUAUUAACACUAGUAUUAUCAAAAGUAAAAGACCGAAUUUUAGUCUCGCACUUAUAUUUUCUGACAAUAUUGAUAAUAACAUUAUAUAUAUUAUUAGCAUUGUGAGGAAACUCAAUAAUUUUAAAAGCAAUAAUUUUCUUAUGUAUGCACCAAAGUGGGUCUAUAUAGUGUGCGGUUGCAGCUAUAUAUGCUCUUUUAUUAACCCCUUCCCAUAUAUCAGAAGUUAAAGAUAUAAUUAAUUGUUGUUUUGAAUUAUUGAAAUAUUGUAUUGUAUCAGCACGAAGAGUGUUUUGACUUAUCCAAUGUACCUCAGUUGCAGAUAUUCUUUCACGAACGAGACGAAGUAUUGGUUGUCUGCAAUAGCUAAAGGAAACUCAGUGACGGCAACAAAUUUCAACAUUCCGAUUUGAGUAUCGUCCUCCGAAUACACCCACGCAGAUAGGGGUGAAGUAGUAGAACCAGCGCCUAGACUGUCAAAUUGCAAUUGUGUUUAACUAGCUGAAAGAAGUCCAUGUCUGGCUGCACAUGCUUUGUACUGGCGGUUGAGAUGGGUGGUACCAAUUCCUUUUUACCAUGCCAUUCUUUGUUGGUAGUAUUUACAUACUGCUUUAGAUUUUCCAAGGCCAUCGACGACUUUUUCCGUUGAAAUCAACUUAAAGUGAUCCCAACAUUUUGCAUGUUUUUUGCCCUUUCGCUUUCCCCUUGCAUCUGGGAUGUUUAAUUUGGCAUAUUCGUCCUCAUGUUCCUCUUCGGGAACGUUAAUAACAUCCAAAUCGAUUGGAUUGCAGCUUCCCUGACUGUGAAUGUGAACAUCUUCAAGUAUGGGUAUGUCAUUUAGACCAGCAAAUUCAUUUGGAAAUUGACUUUGAGGCACCCUAGGCGAUUCGUCAGAUGUGGCCCACAUCCCGUAUCGAAUAAACUCUCAACAAAUGAGCGUUGGUCCAUUUGUUUGAUUGUUUAUGAUGAAAUCUAAAUAUAAUAACUAGGAAAAUAUAAAUGUAGUGAGAUUGUGAGAAUUGAGAAUUGGAUGAAUUGAAAUUGUAACUAAUAAACUGUAAAAAUUGAAUUGAUAUUAUAUAUUUUGCAGCACAAGAGAGUAAAAACUUGAUUACUCAUGAUUUUACGAGCCCGAGCCACCCACGAGCCCUAUUUUGAAGAGCCGAGCCGACGAGCGACUCGGCUCUUUUGACAUCCCUAACUCCAACUCUCUUCUUUUCUCCUUUGUCUUUGCACGCAUGUAGGUUUAUAUAAUUAAAUUAGCAGCCUAUACUAUUUAAUUCCUCCAACAGCAGCCCUUUUUUACUCUUCCCAGCCACUUCAAAUUCUGUGGUUUUAUGCGUAUAUAUCAACAGCAGUCGACGCCCCUUUUUCUGCCUCAAUUUCGGUGUAUAAGUAUUAAACAAUUUCAGCACUCACCACUUUGUUAAUUCCACCAGUAGCUUCAACUUUCAUUCCAAUUUCAGCAGCUGACCAGCCCUUUAUUUCUUCCAGCAGCCUCUAUAAUUCUGUCUCCCAUAGAUGCCGUUUUCUAUUGGUAAGUGUAUAUCAAUGUGGCAGCCAGCAACCCUUUUUAAUUCCUUCCAGAAGGCACCUUCAAGUUCUGUGUGUUUCUUUCUUUUGCAGUUGGCCAACAUCUUUCUUCAAUGCAUAUACGUAUAUAUAGAUAAGUAUGUAGACUUUGACUAAUGGGUUUCUAUUUUUACAAGCUCAAACCCUAGCCCAACUAAACUAUACAAUAUUGCACUUCACGCCUUGACGUUUAGACAUGUUCAAUUA
rnacentral:lncRNA from 1 species